GUGAACGCUGGCGGUAGGCCUAACACAUGCAAGUCGAACGGCAGCACAGUAAGAGCUUGCUCUUACGGGUGGCGAGUGGCGGACGGGUGAGGAAUACAUCGGAAUCUACUUUUUCGUGGGGGAUAACGUAGGGAAACUUACGCUAAUACCGCAUACGACCUACGGGUGAAAGCAGGGGAUCUUCGGACCUUGCGCGAUUGAAUGAGCCGAUGUCGGAUUAGCUAGUUGGCGGGGUAAAGGCCCACCAAGGCGACGAUCCGUAGCUGGUCUGAGAGGAUGAUCAGCCACACUGGAAGUGAGACACGGUCCAGACUCCUACGGGAGGCAGCAGUGGGGAAUAUUGGACAAUAGGCGCAAGCCUGAUCCAGCCAGACCGCGUGGGUGAAGAAGGCCUUCGGGUUGUAAAGCCCUUUUGUUGGGAAAGAAAAGCAGCAGGUUAAUACCCCGCUGUUCUGACGGUACCAAAAGAAUAAGCACCGGCUAACUUCGUG
rnacentral:rRNA from 1 species